GAAGGGGACUGAUGUGGGAAGACCGGUUCGGAGGCUGUGGAAACUGUCCAGGACCCAGCAGGGGAGGAUGGUCACCAGUGAAAGAAAGACAGAGGUGAGUUACAGAGCACUCGCGUCUUAUACCUGGAAGGGUCCUUAGCCUUCAUCUGAUCCAAAUCCUUCUAUGUACAGAUCUGGGAACAGAGUGAAUAAGAGUGCUGAGUCCUAUUACUCCUGAACAGGCUUAGAAUCCAAGUCCCCAUCCUAAAUCC
ensembl:lncRNA